ACCUGGUGUAUCUGAUGUCUCGGCUCACCAAGGCAGCAACAUGUACAUCUGGCUCACUGGUAAGCGUCCUUCGUCUUGUACUCCUAAGGGGUGCCUGUUUUGUAGAAUACAUUGCUAAACGGAACUGUCUGCUAAGCAGAAAUGAGCAGGAUA